GCUUGGAUAGCUCAGUUGGUAGAGCAAAGGACUGAAAAUCCUUGUGUCAGUGGUUCAAAUCCACUUCCAGGCA
rnacentral:tRNA from 1 species